AUUCCAUUUCUCGAUCGUUCCUCUCCCUCUCGUGCCGCCUCUCUCCCCCAUCUCCUCUUCGUCGUCGACCACCAACACAAUCACCGCCGACCACCAGUGUUAUCACUGUCGCCCGUCAAGGGUGCUGCCAGUCACUCCUAGCCACUAUUGCCCUUUCCUUACCUCACUUGUGCCCUAGCUUCCCAAUGCCACAACCGACGCCGCCACCCGAUCCCGCCGGCACUAUCGAUCCACCGUCAUCUCUUCGUUGUUGGUCCUGAUCCCCUCUCAUCGAGCCACCUUCUCACCAGGGUGCCCCUGCGCGCGACAGUCACUGGGUCAGCUCUGUAUGCGACGACGAUCGGACAGUCCUUGUGCGCGACAACUGCUAAGAUGUUUCUAUGUGACUCUUUUCUUGUGUCGGCGGUGAGUAGCAUCUCCGCCACUACCAGGCGUCUUUGCCAGAAGUCGAGCACAGUGGCCACUGCACUCCUUCACACCCCGAGCCUUCUCCACCGAGCCCUUUCCAUUGAACCUUCUUUACUGAUCACCGGACUGCCCUACUGCUAUGCCUGAGUCAAAUCUUUGUCUUGAGGGCGUUUGUUCUGUUGGACAUCAGCUUCACAAUCCUUUGGCCAUAAAUUCCAACAACCAUUGCUCAGGUCGUGAGUCAAUGAAAGAGCGUACGGAUUUAGGACUCUAAUUUGAGACAAGCAUUUCAACAUGGGAGGUAUUUGAUAUGAGCUACGAUAAAGGCGAGUACUUCUUACUUUGUUUCUAUUGUACUUUGACCUUAGUGCAUGAGCUAUGUUUAGAUAGGUUGUUGUAUUUACCUUGACUCCACUCAUAUUAUUUCCUAAGCUUAAUUCUUUGUUGCUUGAUCUUUGAGAUGA